GUGCCAGCCGCCGCGGUAAUACCGGCAGCCCGAGUGAUGGCCGAUCUUAUUGGGCCUAAAGCGUCCGUAGCUGGCUGCGCAAGUCCGUCGGGAAAUCCACUCGCUCAACGAGUGGGCGUCCGACGGAAACUCCACACCUUGGGACCGGAAGGCUCGAAGGGUACGGCCGGGGUAGGAGUGAAAUCCUGUAAUCCCGUCCGGACCACCGAUGGCGAAAGCACUUCGAGAAAACGGAUCCGACAGUGAGGGACGAAAGCUAAGAUCGCGAACCGGAAUAGAAACCCGAGUAGUCC
rnacentral:rRNA from 1 species